AGUGAACGCUGGCGGUAGGCCUAACACAUGCAAGUCGAACGGCAGCACUGUAGGAGCUUGCUCUUACGGGUGGCGAGUGGCGGACGGGUGAGGAAUACAUCGGAAUCUACUUUUUCGUGGGGGAUAACGUAGGGAAACUUACGCUAAUACCGCAUACGACCUACGGGUGAAAGCAGGGGAUCUUCGGACCUUGCGCGAUUGAAUGAGCCGAUGUCGGAUUAGCUAGUUGGCGGGGUAAAGGCCCACCAAGGCGACGAUCCGUAGCUGGUCUGAGAGGAUGAUCAGCCACACUGGAACUGAGACACGGUCCAGACUCCUACGGGAGGCAGCAGUGGGGAAUAUUGGACAAUGGGCGCAAGCCUGAUCCAGCCAUACCGCGUGGGUGAAGAAGGCCUUCGGGUUGUAAAGCCCUUUUGUUGGGAAAGAAAAGCAGCAGGUUAAUACCCCGCUGUUCUGACGGUACCCAAAGAAUAAGCACCGGCUAACUUCGUG
rnacentral:rRNA from 1 species